rnacentral:rRNA from 1 species
ACGGAAGGCAGCAGUGAGGAAUAUUGGUCAAUGGAGGCAACUCUGAACCAGCCAUCUCGCGUGAAGGAAUACGGCCCUACGGGUCUUAAACUUCUUUUAUAGGGGGAUAAAGUGAGCCACGUGUGGCUUUUUGUAGGUACCCUAUGAAUAAGCAUCGGCUAACUCCGUGCCAGCAGCCGCGGUAAUACGGAGGAUGCGAGCGUUAUCCGGAUUUAUUGGGUUUAAAGGGUGCGCAGGCGGCACGUUAAGUCAGCGGUGAAAUGUCGGGGCUCAACCCGGGCACUGCCGUUGAAACUGGCGAGCUUGAGUACGGAUGAAGUCGGCGGAAUGUGAUGUGUAGCGGUGAAAUGCUUAGAUAUGUCACAGAACACCGAUUGCGAAGGCAGCUUACUAAUCCGCAACUGACGCUCAGGCACGAAAGCGUGGGGAUCGAACAGGAUUAGAUACCCUGGUA